rnacentral:snRNA from 1 species
GUGCUCGCUUCGGCAGCACAUAUACUAAAAAAAAAAAAUGGAACGAUACAGAGAAGAUUAGCAUGGCCCCUGCACAAGGAUGACACGCAAAUUCAUGAAGCGUUCCAUAUUUUU